GCACAAGCAGCGGAGCAUGUGGUUUAAUUCGAAGCAACGCGAAGAACCUUACCUAGACUUGACAUCUCCUGAACUUACCCGUAACGUGGGGAAGCUCUUCGGAGCAGGAAGACAGGUGGUGCAUGGUUGUCGUCAGCUCGUGUCGUGAGAUGUUGGGUUAAGUCCCGCAACGAGCGCAACCUUUAUCGUUAGUUGCUACCAUUAAGUUGAGCACUCUAGCGAGACUGCCCGGGUUAACCGGGAGGAAGGUGGGGAUGACGUCAAAUCAUCAUGCCCCUUAUGUCUAGGGCUACACACGUGCUACAAUGGUGAGGACAAAGAGACGCAAGACCGCGAGGUGGAGCAAAUCUCACAAACCUCAUCCCAGUUCGGAUUGCAGGCUGAAACUCGCCUGCAUGAAGCCGGAGUUGCUAGUAAUCGCGAAUCAGCAUGUCGCGGUGAAUACGUUCCCGGGCCUU
rnacentral:rRNA from 1 species